CCGCACAAGCGGCGGAGCAUGCGGAUUAAUUCGAUGCAACGCGAAGAACCUUACCAAGGCUUGACAUAUACGAGAACGGGCCAGAAAUGGUCAACUCUUUGGACACUCGUAAACAGGUGGUGCAUGGUUGUCGUCAGCUCGUGUCGUGAGAUGUUGGGUUAAGUCCCGCAACGAGCGCAACCCUCGUUCUAUGUUGCCAGCACGUAAUGGUGGGAACUCAUGGGAUACUGCCGGGGUCAACUCGGAGGAAGGUGGGGAUGACGUCAAAUCAUCAUGCCCCUUAUGUCUUGGGCUUCACGCAUGCUACAAUGGCCGGUACAAAGGGCUGCAAUACCGUGAGGUGGAGCGAAUCCCAAAAAGCCGGUCCCAGUUCGGAUUGAGGUCUGCAACUCGACCUCAUGAAGUCGGAGUCGCUAGUAAUCGCAGAUCAGCAACGCUGCGGUGAAUACGUUCCCGGGUCUUGUACACACCGCCCGUCAAGUCAUGAAAGUCGGU
rnacentral:rRNA from 1 species